rnacentral:lncRNA from 1 species
UUAAACGUGGCAAGCAAGCACCAAACAGCAAGGUGCCUGUGCAUUGUUACGGAGCAAUAAAACAUAUGCAUACAUGAAUUGAAUAUGCCUUCCUAUUUCACAAUUCCUUACAAAUUGAACAUCGUGAGUCCAAAAUUAAAACAAACAAAACCGGUAACUGAGAUGUGAUAAUAAUCCACAAGGGACAUGUCCAUAAUGCUUAACAAGCUACAUAUCUUCAACAAUUUGCUUAGAUGAUAUAAAGCGAUCUUCAUACUAUAAUGUUGCUCCUAAAUUUGAUUGAUAAUCCUGAAUUUUAGCCCUACCUUCUUCCUCAUUGAUUUAACCUGCUCAUUCUCAAAAUCAGACAAAGGAUAGUUGAAUGUAAAUGACUGAAACCAAGUUACAAGAAGACGAACAAAUUUAAAAUGCUCAGUUGCGUUCAGGUUGUAGCAUUCAACCUAAGCAAUGAUGCCAGCACGCGAAGCAAUCAAGUUGCUGAUCUAGAAAAGAAGUGAAAAGUUAACCUUUCAUGCCCCUGAUCUAGCAUGCAAAAUUGUUGCACAGGGGUCACCACCGGUAGCCAGAAGAAUUAUGUCAGCAGCCUCAUCAUCGUACUGCUCAUACAUGAGAUGUGAAAAGGUAUAGAAAUCCACAAAUUCUACUAAAAAAUCUGCAAGCACAAGCUUUUACAUGGCCAGUUACUCACUUGGAGGAAGACUGCACGAGCGAAGUCAAUGCCAAAAGAGAUGAUCACCUUGUACAGGUCCCUCUGCAACUAACUAAAAAUCUUGGAAAUAUCAUUUUUACCAGAAUUCUCAUGUACAACAGGAAGUCUCUAGUUCUUACCAGAAGGAACAUAACUGCCUUUUCAUUUCCCACUCAUGAUCGCAUAGCAGACACAGGCUCAACCAAGCUUUCUGAAAACUGCAGGAAGGAUGAGCAUAAUCAGCAAUUUCAGUCAGGCGAGCACAAAUGUAUACUUCAGUAGUAAACCACUGCCAAGAAAACAUAAUAAAUGCAUCAACCACAACCGAAUUUUGUAUUCACCAUUUUCUAUCUUCAAUUUUAAAAGAGAAUUCAUUGCCACAAUGGGAUGGGGCAUGCUUUCCUUUAACACUAUCUGACACUGCCGUACGAGAUUCUUUGGUACUAUAUAUUAAAAGACCAAUCUUAAAAUAAUAUAUGCAAAUAAAAAAGAACAAAACUAUGCAACAUGAUGUUCAAACUUCUGAACAAUAACAUUUACCAGUUCAUUUGGUCCAGAGGCCCCUCAACCAAAUGAAAACAAACAAAAUAAAUAAUUUGCACAGUGUCGUGUUCGGGAAACAUCGAGCAUGGACUCAUGUCGAGGAAAAUUAAAAGAUUGGGGGCGCAGUGGGUGAACUGAGUCGAGGAAGAUGGAUGAAUUCGACCACGUUGGUAUCCGGAGGGAACUGACCACGGGAUCUCCUGCCCUGUGUCUGUGCAGUAUAUUAAACUGGAAAAUAGAAAGAAGUAAACCAAAUGCUGCAACUGUACGUAUUUAAUAGAGUUUGUGGAAGUGUAGUUAAAAGUAGACAGCUCGCAAACUGAGCUGUACAGCUAGCUAGCCUGAAACUCAAACACUGUAUCAUCCAUCAACAACAUUAUGAAAAGAUUAAUUAAAGAUGUAAAGGGCAUAUUUGUGCACAUACCACCAACGCAGAAUCAACCAUUAGACCUCACUAUAUACCAUCCAGAUAAAUGAC